rnacentral:tRNA from 1 species
CGGUAGGUAUGCCUAGCGGCGAGGGCAGGGGUCUGUAAAACCCUGACAAGGAAACAGCGUUGGUUCGAGUCCAACCCUACCGA